rnacentral:rRNA from 1 species
AUACGUAGGGGGCGAGCGUUGUCCGGAAUGAUUGGGCGUAAAGGGCGCGUAGGCGGCCCGGUAAGUCUGGAGUGAAAGUCCUGUUUUUAAGAUGGGAAUUGCUUUGGAUACUGUCGGGCUUGAGUGCAGGAGAGGUAAGUGGAAUUCCCAGUGUAGCGGUGAAAUGCGUAGAGAUUGGGAGGAACACCAGUGGCGAAGGCGACUUACUGGACUGUAACUGACGCCGAGGCGCGAAAGUGUGGGGAGCAAACAGGAUUAGAUACCCUGGUAGUCCACGCUGUAAACGAUGAAUGCUAGGUGUAGGGGGUAUCGACCCCUCCUGUGCCGGAGUAAACGCAAUAAGCAUUCCGCCUGGGGAGUACGGCCGCAAGGUUGAAACUCAAAGGAAUUGACGGGG